rnacentral:snRNA from 1 species
AUCGCUUCUCGGCCUUUUGGCUAAGAUCAAGUGUAGUAUCUGUUCUUAUCAGUUUAAAACAUUUGUCAAAAAAUUUAAAAGAAUAGGAAUAAUACAAAGUAUGUUCUCCAACAAUA